rnacentral:rRNA from 1 species
UGGGGAAUCUUGCACAAUGGAGGAAACUCUGAUGCAGCGACGCCGCGUGAGCGAUGAAGCCCUUCGGGGUGUAAAGCUCUUUCGACGGGAACGAUAAUGACGGUACCCGAAGAAGAAGCUGCGGCUAACUACGUGCCAGCAGCCGCGGUAAUACGUAGGCAGCAAGCGUUGUUCGGAAUUACUGGGCGUAAAGAGUGUGUAGGCGGUUCUCUAUGUUCGGUGUGAAAUCUCCCGGCUUAACUGGGAGGGUGCGCCGAAAACUGGAGGGCUUGAGUAUGGGAGAGGAAAGCGGAAUUCCUGGUGUAGCGGUGAAAUGCGUAGAUAUCAGGAGGAACACCUGCGGUGUAGACGGCUUUCUGGACCAUCACUGACGCUGAGACACGAAAGCGUGGGUAGCAAACAGGAUUAGAUACCCUGGUAGUCCACGCCCUAAACGAUGCAUACUUGGUGUGAGCCGUUCAUUCGGUUCGUGCCGGAGCUAACGCGUUAAGUAUGCCGCCUGGGGAGUACGGUCGCAAGGCUG